AUUGAACGCUGGCGGCAUGCCUUACACAUGCAAGUCGAGCGGCAGCGCGGGGGCAACCCUGGCGGCGAGCGGCGAACGGGUGAGUAAUGCAUCGGAACGUGUCCUCUUGUGGGGGAUAACCAGUCGAAAGACUGGCUAAUACCGCAUGAGAUCGAGAGAUGAAAGCGGGGGACCGCAAGGCCUCGCGCGAGAGGAGCGGCCGAUGCCGGAUUAGCUAGUUGGUGGGGUAAUGGCCUACCAAGGCGACGAUCCGUAGCUGGUUGGAGCGAACGACCAGCCACACUGGGACUGAGACACGGCCCAGACUCCUACGGGAGGCAGCAGUGGGGAAUUUUGGACAAUGGGGGCAACCCUGAUCCAGCCAUGCCGCGUGUGUGAAGAAGGCCUUCGGGUUGUAAAGCACUUUCGGACGGAACGAAAUCGCGCGGGCGAACAUCCCGCGUGGAUGGCGGUACCGUAAGAAGAAGCACCGGCUAACUACGUGCCAGCCGCCGCAGUAA
rnacentral:rRNA from 1 species